CUGGAGAGGCUCCUCCGUGGCGCGCAUGCGUAGACUCCGUCUGGGCAGAGCUGAUACUCAGAGGCGCCUGUCACAUGAGCCGCGCUCCCGCUCGGCUCCCCCUCCUCCUGGCUGGGCUGUGUGAAUGAAGCUCAGCGGGUUACGUGGGGCGCCAGCUCUACUCGCUGUGUGGAACGCCAGAGCCGACUGAGCGCGCUGCCUAACGCCGGUGGACACGGGCUCCGCCGCUCCGGACCUCGGUGACAGAACAAAUCAGUUGCCUGGAGUUGGACGUGUGUCCGUGUGAUAACAUAAGUGGGAGCUGCACCGAGUCAAUGAGGGGAACCCAGAAGUUGAAGCAUUAAAAACCAGAAUUUUGCAAAGCAAGGAAAGUACAACAUAAAGUGGAAAGGCAGACCCACCUCCCAAAGGGUAGCAUCUCUUCUUACUUUUUAUUAUACUCCUUUUCUUUCUUUCUUUCUUUCUUUCUUUCUUUCUUUCUUUCUU